GGAGGGGGCUAGCGUUGUUCGGAAUUACUGGGCGUAAAGCGUACGUAGGCGGCUUUGUAAGUUAGAGGUGAAAGCCCGGAGCUCAACUCCGGAAUUGCCUUUAAGACUGCAUCGCUUGAAUCAUGGAGAGGUGAGUGGAAUUCCGAGUGUAGAGGUGAAAUUCGUAGAUAUUCGGAAGAACACCAGUGGCGAAGGCGACUCACUGGACAUGUAUUGACGCUGAGGUACGAAAGCGUGGGGAGCAAACAAGAUUAGAUACCCUGGUAGUCCACGCCGUAAACGAUGAUAACUAGCUGUCGGGGCUCUUAGAGUUUCGGUGGCGCAGCUAACGCGUUAAGUUAUCCGCCUGGGGAGUACGGCCGCAAGGUUA
rnacentral:rRNA from 1 species